rnacentral:rRNA from 1 species
CGCGUAGGCGGUCUCUAAAGUCAGAUGUGAAAGCCCGGGGCUUAACCCCGGAAGUGCAUUUGAAACUCAGGGACUUGAGUAUGGGAGAGGGAAGUGGAAUUCCUGGUGUAGCGGUGAAAUGCGUAGAUAUCAGGAGGAACACCAGUGGCGAAGGCGACUUCCUGGACCAAUACUGACGCUGAGGCGCGAAGGCGUGGGGAGCAAACAGGAUUAGAUACCCUGGUAGUCC